rnacentral:rRNA from 1 species
GGAUAGAGGCCUACCAUGGUGGUAACGGGUAACGGGGUGUUAGGGCACGACACCGGAGAGGGAGCCUGAGAAACGGCUACCACAUCCAAGGAUGGCAGCAGGCGCGCAAAUUACCCAAUCCCGACACGGGGAGGUAGUGACAAUAAAUAACAAUACGGGGUUCUUUCGGAUCUCGUAAUUGGAAUGAGUACAAUUUAAAUCUCUUAACGAGGAACAAUUGGAGGGCAAGUCUGGUGCCAGCAGCCGCGGUAAUUCCAGCUCCAAUAGCGUAUAUUAAAGUUGUUGCAGUUAAAAAGCUCGUAGUUGAAUUUCGGGGUUAGUAGGUUGGUCAUGCCUCUGGUAUGUACUGGUCUCACUGAUUCCUCCUUCCUUAUGAACCGUAAUGCCAUUAAUUUGGUGUUGCGGGGAAUUUGGACUGUUACUUUGAAAAAAUUAGAGUGUUUAAAGCAAGCUAACGCUUGAAUACAUUAGCAUGGAAUAAUGAAAUAGGACGUUCGAUCUUAUUUUGUUGGUUUCUAGGAUUGACGUAAUGAUUAAUAGGGAUAGUUGGGGGCAUUAGUAUUCAAUUGUCAGAGGUGAAAUUCUUGGAUUUAUUGAAGACUAACUACUGCGAAAGCAUUUGCCAAGGAUGUUUUCAUUAAUCAAGAACGAAAGUUAGGGGAUCGAAGACGAUCAGAUACCGUCGUAGUCUUAACCAUAAACUAUGCCGACUAGGGAUCGGA